rnacentral:rRNA from 1 species
UCGAACGCGAAAGUGGAGCAAUCCAUAAGUAGAGUGGCAAACGGGUGAGUAACGCGUGGGCGACCUGCCUUCGAAUGGGGAAUAACUAAUCGAAAGAUUAGCUAAUACCGCAUACGACCUACGGGUGAAAGCAGGGGAUCUUCGGACCUUGCGUUAUUAGAGCGGCCGAUAUCUGAUUAGGUAGUUGGUAGGGUAAAGGCCUACCAAGCCGACGAUCAGUAGCUGGUCUGAGAGGACGAUCAGCCACACUGGAACUGAGACACGGUCCAGACUCC